AUUGAACGCUGGCGGCAGGCCUAACACAUGCAAGUCGAACGAGUGGCGGACGGGUGAGUAAUGUCUGGGAAACUGCCCGAUGGAGUGGGAUAACUACUGGAAACGGUAGCUAAUACCUCAUACCAUCGGAUGUGCCCAGAUGGGAUUAGCUAGUAGGUGGGGUAAAGGCGCACCUAGGCGACGCUCCCUAGCUGGUAUGAGAGGAUGACAAGCCAAACUGGAACAGAGAGACGGUCCAGACGCCUACGGGAGUCAGCAGUGGGGAAUAUUGCACAAUGGGAGAAAGCCUGAUGCAGCCAUGCCGCGUGGAUGAAGAAGGCCUUAGGGUUGUAAAGUACUUUCAGCGGGGAGGCGUUACCCGCAGAAGAAGCACCGGCUAACUCCGUGCCAGCAGCCGCGGUAAUUC
rnacentral:rRNA from 1 species